rnacentral:tRNA from 1 species
UGCCCGCUAGCGCAAUUGGUAGAGCGUCCGCCUCUGAAGCGGAAGGUUCGCGGUUCGAGUCCGCGGCGGGCUGCCA